rnacentral:rRNA from 1 species
CCAAAUGUGUUCACUCCUUCUAAGGGGAGUGAGGAAGGAAGCUUCGGCCUCCGCAUUGAGAUGGGCCCGCGGCCCAUUAGCUUGUUGGUGAGGUAACGGCUCACCAAGGCUUCGAUGGGUAGCUGGUCUGAGAGGACGAUCAGCCACACUGGGACUGAGACACGGCCCAGACUCCUACGGGAGGCAGCAGUGGGGAAUCUUGCACAAUGCGCGAAAGCGUGAUGCAGCAACGCCGCGUGGGGAAGACGGCCUUCGGGUUGUAAACCCCUUUCAGUUGGGACGAAGACUUCGUCGGUGAAUAGCCGGUUGGAGUGACGGUACCUUCAGAAGAAGCCCCGGCUAACUACGUG